AACGAACGCUGGCGGCAGGCCUAACACAUGCAAGUCGAACGAGCUGAGACCUUCGGGUCUCGAUGCUAGUGGCGCACGGGUGAGUAACGCGUGGGAACGUACCCUUUAGUACGGAAUAACCAAGGGAAACUUUGGCUAAUACCGUAUACGCCCUUCGGGGGAAAGAUUUAUCGCUAAAGGAUCGGCCCGCGUCUGAUUAGGUAGUUGGUGAGGUAACGGCUCACCAAGCCGACGAUCAGUAGCUGGUCUGAGAGGAUGAUCAGCCACACUGGGACUGAGACACGGCCCAGACUCCUACGGGAGGCAGCAGUGGGGAAUAUUGGACAAUGGGCGAAAGCCUGAUCCAGCCAUGCCGCGUGAGUGAAGAAGGCCUUCGGGUUGUAAAGCUCUUUCGACGGGGACGAUGAUGACGGUACCCGUAUAAGAAGCCCCGGCAAACUUCGUGCCAGCAGCCGCAGUAAGAC
rnacentral:rRNA from 1 species